ensembl:lincRNA
UGAUCCGCCACUCGGCCUCCCAAAGUGCUGGGAUUGCAGGCAUGAGCCAACACACCCCGCCUCACUUGUGCUUUGAGCACUUGAAAUUUGGCUAGUCCAUCUGAAGAACUGAAUUUUAGAUUUUACUUAAUUUUUUAAUUUAAAUCAAUUCAAAUAGCCAUAUGUGACAACUGGCAACUGUAUUGGACAGUGCGCUCUAGAACUCCUGUAAUGGUCAUUCUGUCGUGGAAGAUUAAGAACUGAGACUGAAUUGCAGGAGUUCUUGCUCAUGACUCCAAAUGAAAUCCUGUUUAUUUUUCUCUGGACAGGGCUUGCAGUUCCAAACCAGACAUGAUAUCUCAUUUGGAGAAUGGGAAAGGACAUGGGUGACAAUGAGAGAAAUUUCAAGAAUUCCCUAUCCUGACAUGGAGCCCAAACCUGCAACCAAGAAUGCUACACGAACAAAGGAUAUUUCUGAAGAUUUAUCACAGGAUGCCGUACUAGAGAAACUUACAGAGAAUGGUCUGUGGGAUUCCAGAGUGGAAGGGUUACGGAAAUGGAAUGAUAGGAUAUUGAGAUUACAAAAUAAUCAGGAGAAUCAUUUGAGUCAAAGAAUAAUUCCACUCAAGAAGACUCCCACUAGUCAAAGAGGCUUUAGAUUUGAAUCUAUUCUUAUUCCAGAACCAGGCAUUGCCACCGAAGAGCUUCACAGCAGAUGCCAAACACAAGAGGAAAAUUUCACAGAGAAUUUAAAUUUGGUUACAGAUACCCGUUUGGGGACCAAACAUGUUAUACAGAUCUGAAGUGAUGCGCCACUUCUUAUUCCUGAUACUGGUUUUUGUGUUUUCUUAUUUUAUCUUACUCAGUCUUGCUAGAGUUUAUCAAUCUUACUCGACUUUUUUUUUUUCUUGAGACAGGGUCUCAUUCUGUCACUCAGGCUGGAAUGCAGUGGCAUGAUCAUAGCUCACUGCAGCCUCGAACUUCUGGGCUCAAGUGAUCCUCCUGCCUCAUCCUCCUACAUAGCUGGGAUUAGAGGCACACACCACCACCUAAGAUUUUUAUGUUUUGUAGAGGGUCUCACUAUGUUGACCAAGAUGUUCUCGAACUCCUGGGCUCAAGCUAUCCUCCCACCUUGGCCUCCCAAAUUGCUGGGAUUUCAGAUGUGAGCCACCAUGCAUGAACUUACUUGGCUUUUAAAAACAUUACUGUUUUUAGUCCUUUUCUGUAUGUUUGAGUUUAUUACUUUCUGUUCUUUAUUAUUUUAUUCAUUCUUAGAGCUUAAUUUGUGGAUCUUUUCUAACCUCUUGAAUUAGAUAACUUAUAUCAUUGAUUUUCAGCUGUUCUUUCUAAUUGUUUAGGGCUAUCAGAACUGUAUCACACUUUUCUAUGUAGCAUCUUCAUAUUUUUGAGUGGAAAAUGAUGUAUAUUUCUAUUGUGAUAUCUUUUAUCCUUCAGUUAUUUUUAAAUGUUUUUCUUAAUUUUGUGCCAUUUGGGAAUUUCUAGCAAUCUUAUUAACUUAAUUCUAUUAUGGUCAGACAAGAUGCUCUGAAUUAUGUCAGUCUUUGCAGAAUUUGUAAGCAUUUGUGCUCUUGAAAAAAAUUUAUAGCCUAUACGUAUUAAGUAUAAUUUCUAGAUGUGUCAGGAGAUUAAGUUUAAUUACAUUGUUAAAAUCUGUGUACUUACAGCUUAUUCUAUCAGUUGAGAAAGAUUUUUAAAGUCUGCUAGUGAGACUAUACAUUUGUUUCCUAUUUAGUUCAUUUAAUUUUUUCUUUCUGUAUUUGAAGCGAUGUAUUAUGUAAAUACAAAGUUAUAAUUGUUAUCUUUAUGGUAAAUUGGCU